CCUACGGGAGGCAGCAGUAGGGAAUAUUGCUCAAUGGGGGAAACCCUGAAGCAGCAACGCCGCGUGGAGGAUGAAGGUUUUCGGAUUGUAAACUCCUUUUGUUAGAGAAGAUAAUGACGGUAUCUAACGAAUAAGCACCGGCUAACUCCGUGCCAGCAGCCGCGGUAAUACGGAGGGUGCAAGCGUUACUCGGAAUCACUGGGCGGAAAGAGCGCGUAGGCGGGAUAGCAAGUCAGAUGUGAAAUCCUAUGGCUUAACCAUAGAACUGCAUUUGAAACUGUUAUUCUAGAGUAUGGGAGAGGUAGGUGGAAUGCUUGGUGUAGGGGUAAAAUCCGUAGAGAUCAAGAAGAAUACUCAUUGCGAAGGCGACCUGCUAGAACAUAACUGACGCUGAUGCGCGAAAGCGUGGGGAGCAAACAGGAUUAGAUACCCCAGUAGUC
rnacentral:rRNA from 1 species